GAGAAAAAAACAGCGAAAAGUGUGGUGUCGUCGCCACAUUUUUCGCAAAACUUAAUAUUUAAAAAAUAAAUAGUCAAAAUGUUGUUGUGUUAACAAAGUCCUCGGAUAGUCCUAAAAAAUUGAAAUCAUCAACACAACAUUCAUCUUCUUUAAAAUGUCCGUCCAAUCAUUAUUUUAAAGAAGAAUUUGGGGUUCAAAUUAAUUUAUGUGAAACAUCUAUAAUUAAAUUAAUUUUGGAAAAAAAAAUUGCGAAAAAAAAAGCGAAUGUACCAAAAAUAAAAGCACACCAUGCUUAGAGAUAUAAAACAAACUAUGUAAUAUUGUAUAAUCACAAUGGGCUUUCUGAUCAUUAUAUA